rnacentral:rRNA from 1 species
GAGCUUUAGGUCUCCGUUGGUGACCAGCGGAGGAGGCUCCGUGAAGGUAGUGCAUGCCUAACCCAAUGUGAACCAUACCAAACUGUUGCCUCGGCGGGGUCACAUGCCGGGUGCGUCAGGGCCUCUGGAAGUCGCUGAUACCGGAGGGACCAAUGCCUCUCUUUCUGUAGUCCCCUCGCGGACGUUAUUUUUACAGCUCUGAGCAAAAAUUCAAAAUGAAUCAAAACUUUCAACAAGAUGCUCGCUCGUAUGCUGUCUCGAGAAGAACGCAGCGAAAUGCGAUAAGUAAUGAUGCUCGCUGCAUUCAGUGAAUCAUCGAAUCUUUGAACGCACAUUGCGCCCGCCAGUAUUCUGGCGGGCAUGCCUGUCCGAGCGUCAUUUCAACCCUCAGGCUCGUAUAGUGCCGUAGAGGAGGGGACUUCGGGAACCCCUAAGACGGGAUCCCGGCCCCGAAAUAUGCUCGCGGUCUCGCCGCAGCCUCUCAUGCGCAGUAGUUUGCACAUCGCUCGUGAAGAGAGCCUGUAGAUGCUCGCUGAUAGUCGCCCAACUUCUGAAAUGUUGACCUCGGAUCAGGUAGGAAUACCCGCUGAACUUAAGCAUAUCAAUAAGGCGGAAGAA